rnacentral:lncRNA from 1 species
UAAAAGUUCUUGCUGGCGAAUUCCGUCUCAAACAAAUUUAAAACUUAUGCGUCCACAUCUUUAGAAGACUGCAAGACCGUUACUCUCAAAGCAAGGCUCCUAAAUUGAUCCCUUCUCCAAAACUGAGAUGAAAAUUGGGAGUUUAUGAUGUAAAAACAGCAGAAUCAUCACCCUAUUCUCUCAAUUCUUUUUUUUUUUAAUUGUCCCGAUCUAUUAAAUUUCGGUAAAAAAUGAAAUCCGCGAAUCAACCAGAAACAACCGGCAACAGCACAACAACGAAAACAAGAAGCCCAUUGCGCAUGCUUGGUAACUUACGGAAUCUCAGCUUCGAGGGAGAAUUGUAUCUCACAGACGAAAUAAGCCUGCAUGACAUCCUCUUGAAGGAUUCAAAGAAGACUUUGGAAAUUUUAGGCCCCGGACAUCCAUCAUCAACUGAAGUCUGUAGAACAUUAACUCAAAGUUGACAAUAAGUAUGGUCAAGACUGACCAUAACAAAAGCUCGGAGACUUGCACAGAGGUGAAGCUUUUCUUUUCUACAUCAUACGUCUGCCGUGAUGUGAACGUCACGGACUUCGAAGAACAAAAUAUGGAUAGCCUGAGAGCAUGCGAACAGACAUCAGCCUUGACGACUUAGCAGAAAUCGAGUUUUUCGAUAAAGAUGACCGAGGAAGGCACAACGAAGCUUAUUUGUUUAUGUAAAGUGGUCAAGUGCGGUACCUACAUGACCACUUAUACCAGUUUGUGCAAGAAGAACACUGUUUGGUCUAUCCCCUAAACGCUACAUCUUCGUGGCCAAACAAUACCGAGAACUGAAUUCUUUUGACAGUAGUUUUCUUGGAUGAAAGAUCAAGCUCUUAAUUGGAGUACAUUUUCUGGUUCUAACUCGAAUACGGGACAGGACACCCCUCUGCAGUUAAUCUAAUGUAACAAAUUUGGUCUUACUGACUCGUAGAAUGGGCGUUUAGAUUAAAUGGACAUUAAACGUACUGCCAUCUGUCGAUUAAUUGCAACAUCAAAACACCUAAAUAAAACUACUUCUUUCCAUAUUUAAAUUAGAAUUUACUUCUAUCAUCUUUUUAAUAAACUUUGACCACCUUUAUUUAGCAAAGAAAAUUUCCUCAGUUAACUGCACAACGCAAUCUUAAACCAUCUAGAUUUUAGCACUAAGAAAAUAACUAUUUUUUUCUUGUGAAGCACAAAGUUACAUUUUAGGCUAUUUGUAUAGUGCCCAUCGCAAGUAUCGAAACCGUAUUUUUAGCGUCAUAAGCCCUCACACUUAACGCUGAACCACAAGGGGAGGAGUGGCAAGGAAGUAGGUGGGAACUUCUUAAAUCGUGUUGGUCUCAAGAUCUAUUUGUGCUUACACUUUUACUAAAACUUUUAUACUAUAUUGUUGUUGUUAAAAGAAGUUCAAGUGUUUGAGUAUCAAUAUAAAAUCAUCAGUGUCUUUUAUUGAAUAUUUUACAAUGGAAUAAAAUAUUAAAGGUUAGUUUUAUGUUGAAGGCUUGAGCACCCAAUAAAUUUGUUACUUCGCCUUCCUGCUUCGUGAGUAUUCCACCUGUGUUAUUGUUAAAAUGUCUCUUUCCUUUGCAUAUACAUGUUUAUUACAAUAAA